rnacentral:rRNA from 1 species
CACAUUAGCUAUUUGUGGGGUAAAGGCCUACCAAGGCAAUGAUGCGUAGCCGAGUUGRGRGACUGAUCGGCCACAUUGUGACUGAGACACGGCCCAAACUCCUACGGGAGGCAGCAGUAGGGAAUCUUCCACAAUGGACGCAAGUCUGAUGGAGCAACGCCGCUUGAGUGAAGAAGGGUUUUUCGACCGUAAAGCUCUGUUGUUCGUGAAGAAGGAUAGACGCAGUAACUGUCUUUAUUUGCGGUAAUCAACCAGAAAGUCACGGCUAACUACGUGCCAGCAGCCGCGUUAAUACGUAGGUCGCAAGCGUUGUCCGGAUUUAUUGGGCGUAAAGCGAGCGCAGGCGGAAUGAUAAGUCUGAUGUGAAAGCCCACGGCUCAACCGUGGAACUGCAUCGGAAACUGUCAUUCUUGAGUGCAGAAGAGGAGAGUGGAACUCCAUGUGUAGCGGUGGAAUGCGUAGAUAUAUGGAAGAACACCAGUGGCGAAGGCGGCUCUCUGGUCUGCAACUGACGCUGAGGCUCGAAAGCAUGGGUAGCGAACAGGAUUAGAUACCCUGGUAGUCCAUGCCGUAAACGAUGAGCGCUAGGUGUUGGGGACUUUCCGGUUCUCAGUGCCGCAGCAAACGCAUUAAGCGUCCGCCUGGGGAGUACGACCGCAAGGUUGAAACUCAAAGGAAUUGACGGGGGCCCGCACAAGCGGUGGAGCAUGUGGUUUAAUUCGAAGCAACGCGAAGAACCUUACCAGGUCUUGACAUCCUGUGACAAUUCUAGAGAUAGAACUUUCUUCGGGGACACAGAGACAGGUGGUGCAUGGCUGUCGUCGCUCGUUG